AGAAGGACAAUUUCAAGUAAAUUUUAUGUCAUUGAAAGCUCAUCCAGAAGAUUUUACUAAAUACUACAGGAUGUCUAUUACAACAUUCGACGAAUUAUUAAUUUCACUUGUUAGGCCGCUUAUCUCACAAGACAAGUUAUUAAUAUGCGUAGUUCAAUAUCAGAAGAAGAACGAUUAACCAUAACUUUAAGAUAUUUUAGCAACUGGAACGCAUUUCUCAUCUCUGAAUUUUGAAUUUCUGGCGGGAGUGUCUACUAUAGCUAUGAUUGUGCGGGAAACUUGUGAAGUUUUAUGGGAAGUAUUACAACCUAAGGAAAUGGCAGAACCGACAACAGACGACUGGAAAGAUGUUGCAAAAGGUUUUUUUGAAAAAACGCAAUUUCCAAAUACUGUUGGCGCCGCGGAUGGUAAACAUAUACGACUUGAGUGCCCGAAAAAUAGUGGAUCAUUGUAUUACAAUUAUAAGCAUUUUUUUCAUUGAUUCUGAUGGAUAUUUGCGACUCUAACUACUACUUUAGAGUAAUUGAUGUGGGCUCUUGCGGGAAGGAGAGUGACUGCAAUGUCUUCAAAACAUCUGCAUUUGGCAAAAAACUUUACACGAACAGACCAAACUUUCCAGCUAAUGAAUGCUUACCAAAUGACAAUCUUGGUGUACCACAACCAUUUGUAUUAAUGGCUGAUGAAGCAUUUGCUCUGCAUAAAAAUUUAUUAAGGCCGUUUCUAGGAAAAAGUUUAAAUGACCAGAGAAGAAUAUUUAAUUACAGAUUAUCUAGAGCCCGUCAGUAUAUUGAAUGUUCCUUUGGUAUUGUGUCAAAAAAGUGGAGAGUUUUCCAGACCAGCAUGCUUGUAGAACCAGAAACUGCGGUUAAAAUUACAAAAGCCUGCUGUGUACUUCAUAAUUUUGUGCGACGGCAUGAUGGGUUUAACACUAAAGACACCCAAAGUUCCAUGCAAAGCAUAACUGAAAGAAGGGGAGUGGGAAACUCUCCAACCAAUGUUAAAGAUGUCAGAGAGUACUUUGUGCAAUAUGUUAAUGAUACAAACCAUGCGCUUGACUG